GAGUUUGAUCCUGGCUCAGGAUGAACGCUGGCGGCGUGCCUAACACAUGCAAGUCGAACGGAGAGUGUGAACGGAAGUUUUCGGACGGAAGUUCAUACUUCUUAGUGGCGGACGGGUGAGUAACGCGUGGGCAACCUGCCUCAUACAGGGGGAUAGCAGAUAGAAAUGUCUGAUAAGACCGCAUAAGUCCUUUGUUUCGCAUGAAACGGAGGGGAAAAGAGCAAUCUGGUAUGAGAUGGGCCCGCGUCCGAUUAGCUAGUUGGUGAGGUAACGGCUCACCAAGGCGACGAUCGGUAGCCGGACUGAGAGGUCGGACGGCCACAUUGGGACUGAGACACGGCCCAAACUCCUACGGGAGGCAGCAGUGGGGGAUAUUGCACAAUGGAGGAAACUCUGAUGCAGCGACGCCGCGUGAGUGAAGAAGUAUUUCGGUAUGUAAAGCUCUAUCAGCAGGGAAGAUGAUGACG
rnacentral:rRNA from 1 species